CCGUUGGUAUCGAUACAAGCAUCGCCCAUCCCUUCUGCUGAAUUAUAAUUUGAAACUGAAACCGCGAAAAACGUUUGUGAAACGCAAUGAAGAAGUUUAAACUAACCUUUUUAUUUUUAGUACUGUCCACAAUGUGGCAACAAUAUUCGUAUAAUGAUGAAGAAACAUUUGAGAAAUGAGGGGUGGUACGUUUCUAGUUAUCCUGGCUUAACCUGGCCGCAGCUUACAUAUCAACCUGCAGUAACUAUGCGGACUGCUCGCUACUCUUUUAAUUUCUGUGCUGUUUGUGGGUGUGAUCUUCGGCCUUUUUGGUUCCUUAGUAAGUAAAUAGCGUGGACUGGACCUUAGUUAAUCAUUUGAUCUUUUGCACAGAUAAUGCCGU